UACGGGGGGGGCAAGCGUUGUUCGAAAUUACUGGGCGUAAAGGGCUCGUAGGCGGCCAACUAAGUCGGAUGUGAAAUCCCCAGGCUUAACCUGGGAACUGCAUCCGAUACUGGAUGGCUUGAAUCCGGGAGAGGGAUGCAGAAUUCCAGGUGUAGCGGUGAAAUGCGUAGAUAUCUGGAGGAAUACCGGUGGCGAAGGCGGCAUCCUGGACCGGCAUUGACGCUGAUGAGCGAAAGCUAGGGGAGCAAACGGGG
rnacentral:rRNA from 1 species